GACGAACGCUGGCGGCGUGCCUAAUACAUGCAGGUUGAGCGCUGAAGACUGGUACUUGUACCGGUUGGAUGAGCAGCGAACGGGUGAGUAACGCGUGGGUAACCUGCCCUAUAGAGGGGGAUAACUAGAGGAAACUUUAGCUAAUACCGCAUAAAAUCUAAUAACACAUGUUAUAAGAUUGAAAGUGCCAAUUGGUACACUAUAGGAUGGACCCGCGUUGUAUUAGCUAGUUGGUGAGGUAAAGGCUCACCAAGGCGAUGAUACAUAGCCGACCUGAGAGGGUGAUCGGCCACACUGGGACUGAGACACGGCCCAGACUCCUACGGGAGGCAGCAGUAGGGAAUCUUCGGCAAUGGACGAAAGUCUGACCGAGCAACGCCGCGUGAGUGAAGAAGGUUUUCGGAUCGUAAAACUCUGUUGUAAGAGAAGAACACCAGUAAGAGUGGAAAGCUUACUGGCUGACGGUAUCUUACCAGAAAGCCACGGCUAACUACGUGCCAGCCGCCGCCGUAA
rnacentral:rRNA from 1 species